rnacentral:misc_RNA from 1 species
UUCAUCCAAGUUUCGGGGAGCGAUACUUGACUUCUGUACUGUUUGAAGAACUCAGAAAUGAGGCUGCAAAUAUGCAACCAGUUUCAGUUGACUAAGGCUUUCGAAUGGAAUGUUCAAUAAAUAAUACUAAAUCUCUAGUGUGCAAUCGUUUGUUGACAUCAUGUUACUUGUAAGUUCUGUUGAUUGAAAAACUAUGCGUCCAGCAAAUUUGUUGUGAUAAAGCUUAUUUGUGAGUUCUUCAAAC